CUAGUACUCCCCCCGUUCCAUAAUUCUUGUCGAAAUAUUGCAUGUAUCUAGACGCUUUUUAAGAAUAGAUAUAUCCAGUUUUGAGCAAAUUUAAGACAGGAACUAUGGAACGGAGGGAGUAGAAA
rnacentral:pre_miRNA from 1 species